GCCAGCAGCCAUAUCUCUCUGCAACUCACAGUUGGCAGCCCACUGAAGCUCAGCAGGUGUGAGCCUGGUCAGUACCUGGAUGGGAGACCUCCUGGGAAAAACGAAGGUUGCUGCUGGAA
rfam:Lepisosteus oculatus linkage group LG1, whole genome shotgun sequence.